rnacentral:rRNA from 1 species
GACGAACGCUGGCGGCGUGCUUAACACAUGCAAGUCGAGCGGUAAGGCCCUUUCGGGGGUACACGAGCGGCGAACGGGUGAGUAACACGUGGGUGACCUGCCCUCAGCUCUGGGAUAAGCCUGGGAAACUGGGUCUAAUACCGGAUAUGACUCCAUGACGCAUGUUGUGGGGUGGAAAGCCUUGUGCGGCUGAGGAUGGGCCCGCGGCCUAUCAGCUUGUUGGUGGGGGAUGGCCUACCAAGGCGACGACGGGUAGCCGGCCUGAGAGGGCGACCGGCCACACUGGGACUGAGACACGGCCCAGACUCCUACGGGAGGCAGCAGUGGGGAAUCUUGCGCAAUGGGCGAAAGCCUGACGCAGCGACGCCGCGUGAGGGAUGACGGCCUGGUGUAAC